ACAUUUCUUUUAGAUUAUUUUAUAAGUAAAGUCUGCCCACUGUUAAAAUAAAGGGCCGCGGUAUUUUGACCGUGCAAAGGUAGCAUAAUCAUUAGCCUUUUAAUUGGAGGAUGGAAUGAAUGGCUUAAUGAUUUUUCUCUAUUAUUUUUAUUAAAAAAUAAAUUUGAUUUUAAGUGAAAAAACUUAAUUAUUUUAAAUAGACGAUAAGACCCUAUAGAAUUUUAUUUUUUUUAUUAUUUAAUAUUAUUAAAAAAGUUUAAAUGGGGCAUUUUUUGACUAAUAAAAAUUUCUAAUUAAUUAUUUAAAAAUAUCUUUUUUUUAAUAAAAUAAAAAAAUUACCUUAGGGAUAACAGCGUAAUAAUUUUUAAGAGUUCAUAUCGACAAAAUAGUUUGCGACCUCGAUGUUGAAUUAAAAUUCUUUUAUGGAGCAGCUUUUAUAAAAAGUAGUCUGUUCGACCUAUUAAAUUUUUACAUGAUUUGAGU
rnacentral:rRNA from 1 species